GGCCAUAUCACGUUGAAACAGCAGUUCUCGUACGAUCGCCGAAGUUAAGCAUCGUUGAGACUGAUCAGUAACUAGAUGGGUGACAGAUUGGGAAUACCAGGUACUGUAAG
rnacentral:rRNA from 1 species